AUACAGCUGACGAGUCCCGUAUAGGACGAAACGUUCGUCUUGGAU
rnacentral:hammerhead_ribozyme from 1 species